GUGGGGAAUAUUGCACAAUGGGCGCAAGCCUGAUGCAGCGACGCCGCGUGAGGGAUGACGGCCUUCGGGUUGUAAACCUCUUUCAGUACAGAACAAGGCCUUCGGGUUGAGGGUAUGUGCAGAAGAAGCGCCGGCUAACUACGUGCCAGCAGCCGCGGUAAUACGUAGGGCGCGAGCGUUGUCCGGAAUUAUUGGGCGUAAAGAGCUCGUAGGCGGUUUGUCGCGUCUGCCGUGAAAUCCUCUGGCUUAACUGGGGGCGUGCGGUGGGUACGGGCAGACUGGAGUGCGGUAGGGGAGACUGGAAUUCCUGGUGUAGCGGUGGAAUGCGCAGAUAUCAGGAGGAACACCGGUGGCGAAGGCGGGUCUCUGGGCCGUUACUGACGCUGAGGAGCGAAAGCAUGGGGAGCGAACAGGAUUAGAAACCCCAGUAGUCC
rnacentral:rRNA from 1 species